AGUAGGGGACCCUCUGAGAGGCUGUGGGGCAGGAGGGAUUGCCGGAGGGUCACGGGCGGGGGUGGAACACUUAUGUGGGCAGAAGUGGAUGUCCUGAGCAGUGCGUGGAUGGGGCCUCAGGGGCUAGGCUGUGGUGUGGCCCCCAGUGAGGAGGCAGAAAGAGAGCUUGGGCCCCCACUCUCCAGACCUUCCCUCCAUCUCUGCCUCUGGCCUCAGUUUCUGUUGAGAAGUCCUCCACCCAGAAGCACUCUUGCACAGCCAAGAAAACCGUGAUUGGUGCCUCUCCUGAGUGUGGGACAGGAAGAGUUAACCUGCUGACAGACGGCAUUUUUUACCUUCAGUCAAUAUGAACAAGGCCCCAAGACUAUGAUUCCAAACAUCUGGAUUUCAUCAAUAUGUGAUCUGUCAUCGUAUAUUGGCAUUCCCCAGUCCCCGCGCCAGAGCAAUGCGGCUGGUUUUAUUAAUACGUCAAAUACAUUAUCCGUGUAAUACA